GCUGAAUUCAGAAACAAGAUUAAGAUCUUUGCUCCAUGGACCAGCCAAGACUGAAUACCUUAUGGUGUUGGAUCAGUCUCUAGAAUGUGAAAAACCUUCAUUCAGUCUAAAUACAACAGCUAAAUGCUAAAUCUGAGCAGUACUUUACUAUACCAACAACAGCAAAAUAACGGGUCAAGCAAACUGCAUAUAGCAAAGUUCUUUCAUACAUAGGGGGCCACAGCCUGAGCGUCUCCAGCAGUCUUUGAAAUCUGCCUGACUCUUUUCUGGACUUGACUGACCACCUUUGCCACCUCGCCAGGCCUUUGGUAAUGCUGCCAUUCAUAGGAUACAGUCUCCUCCUGAUGAAUUUAAGUUGAAUGGGAGCUAGGG